GAUGAAGAACGUAGCGAAAUGCGAUAAGUAAUGUGAAUUGCAGAAUUCAGUGAAUCAUCGAAUCUUUGAACGCACAUUGCGCCCAUUAGUAUUCUAGUGGGCAUGCCUGUUCGAGCGUCAUUUCAACCCUUAAGCCUAGCUUAGUAUUGGGAAUCGACUUUACUGUCGUUCCUCAAAUUCAACGGCGGAUUUAUAGCAAUCUCUGAACGUAGUAAUUUUUUUUCUCGUUUUUGAAAUACUAUAAACCUCAGCCGCUAAACCCCCAAUUUCUUAUGGUUGACCUCGGAUCAGGUAGGAAUACCCGCUGAACUUAAGCAUAUCAAUAAGCGGAGGGA
rnacentral:misc_RNA from 1 species